GGGUUGUGAGGUUAAGCGACUAAGCGUACACGGUGGAUGCCCUGGCAGUCAGAGGCGAUGAAGGACGUGCUAAUCUGCGAAAAGCGUCGGUAAGGUGAUAUGAACCGUUAUAACCGGCGAUGUCCGAAUGGGGAAACCCAGUGCAAUUCGUUGCACUAUCGUUAACUGAAUACAUAGGUUAACGAGGCGAACCGGGGGAACUGAAACAUCUAAGUACCCCGAGGAAAAGAAAUCAACCGAGAUUCCCCCAGUAGCGGCGAGCGAACGGGGAGCAGCCCAGAGUCUGAAUCAGCUUGUGUGUUAGUGGAACGGUCUGGAAAGUCCGACGGUACAGGGUGAUAGUCCCGUACACCAAAAUGCACAGGCUGUGAACUCGAAGAGUAGGGCGGGACACGUGGUAUCCUGUCUGAAUAUGGGGGGACCAUCCUCCAAGGCUAAAUACUCCUGACUGACCGAUAGUGAACCAGUACCGUGAGGGAAAGGCGAAAAGAACCCCGGCGAGGGGAGUGAAAAAGAACCUGAAACCGUGUACGUACAAGCAGUGGGAGCACCUUCGGGUGUGACUGCGUACCUUUUGUAUAAUGGGUCAGCGACUUAUAUUCUGUAGCAAGGUUAACCGUAUAGGGGAGCCGCAGGGAAACCGAGUCUUAACUGGGCGUUAAGUUGCAGGGUAUAGACCCGAAACCCGGUGAUCUAGCCAUGGGCAGGUUGAAGGUUGGGUAACACUAACUGGAGGACCGAACCGACUAAUGUUGAAAAAUUAGCGGAUGACUUGUGGCUGGGGGUGAAAGGCCAAUCAAACCGGGAGAUAGCUGGUUCUCCCCGAAAGCUAUUUAGGUAGCGCCUCGUGAAUUCAUCUUCGGGGGUAGAGCACUGUUUCGGCUAGGGGGUCAUCCCGACUUACCAACCCGAUGCAAACUACGAAUACCGAAGAAUGUUAUCACGGGAGACACACGGCGGGUGCUAACGUCCGUCGUGAAGAGGGAAACAACCCAGACCGCCAGCUAAGGUCCCAAAGUCAUGGUUAAGUGGGAAACGAUGUGGGAAGGCACAGACAGCCAGGAUGUUGGCUUAGAAGCAGCCAUCAUUUAAAGAAAGCGUAAUAGCUCACUGGUCGAGUCGGCCUGCGCGGAAGAUGUAACGGGGCUAAACCAUGCACCGAAGCUGCGGCAGCGACACUAUGUGUUGUUGGGUAGGGGAGCGUUCUGUAAGCCUGCGAAGGUGACCUGUGAGGGUUGCUGGAGGUAUCAGAAGUGCGAAUGCUGACAUAAGUAACGAUAAAGCGGGUGAAAAGCCCGCUCGCCGGAAGACCAAGGGUUCCUGUCCAACGUUAAUCGGGGCAGGGUGAGUCGACCCCUAAGGCGAGGCCGAAAGGCGUAGUCGAUGGGAAACAGGUUAAUAUUCCUGUACUUGGUGUUACUGCGAAGGGGGGACGGAGAAGGCUAUGUUAGCCGGGCGACGGUUGUCCCGGUUUAAGCAUGUAGGCUGAUUAUCCAGGCAAAUCCGGAUAAUCAAGGCUGAGGUGUGAUGACGAGGCACUACGGUGCUGAAGUAACAAAUGCCCUGCUUCCAGGAAAAGCCUCUAAGCAUCAGGUAACAUCAAAUCGUACCCCAAACCGACACAGGUGGUCAGGUAGAGAAUACCAAGGCGCUUGAGAGAACUCGGGUGAAGGAACUAGGCAAAAUGGUGCCGUAACUUCGGGAGAAGGCACGCUGGUGUGUAGGUGAAGUCCCUGCGGAUGGAGCUGAGACCAGUCGAAGAUACCAGCUGGCUGCAACUGUUUAUUAAAAACACAGCACUGUGCAAACACGAAAGUGGACGUAUACGGUGUGACGCCUGCCCGGUGCCGGAAGGUUAAUUGAUGGGGUUAUCCGUAAGGAGAAGCUCUUGAUCGAAGCCCCGGUAAACGGCGGCCGUAACUAUAACGGUCCUAAGGUAGCGAAAUUCCUUGUCGGGUAAGUUCCGACCUGCACGAAUGGCGUAAUGAUGGCCAGGCUGUCUCCACCCGAGACUCAGUGAAAUUGAACUCGCUGUGAAGAUGCAGUGUACCCGCGGCAAGACGGAAAGACCCCGUGAACCUUUACUAUAGCUUGACACUGAACAUUGAGCCUUGAUGUGUAGGAUAGGUGGGAGGCUUUGAAGCGUGGACGCCAGUCUGCGUGGAGCCAACCUUGAAAUACCACCCUUUAAUGUUUGAUGUUCUAACGUUGGCCCCUUACCGGGGUUGCGGACAGUGUCUGGUGGGUAGUUUGACUGGGGCGGUCUCCUCCCAAAGCGUAACGGAGGAGCACGAAGGUUAGCUAAUCCUGGUCGGACAUCAGGAGGUUAGUGCAAUGGCAUAAGCUAGCUUGACUGCGAGCGUGACGGCGCGAGCAGGUGCGAAAGCAGGUCAUAGUGAUCCGGUGGUUCUGAAUGGAAGGGCCAUCGCUCAACGGAUAAAAGGUACUCCGGGGAUAACAGGCUGAUACCGCCCAAGAGUUCAUAUCGACGGCGGUGUUUGGCACCUCGAUGUCGGCUCAUCACAUCCUGGGGCUGAAGUAGGUCCCAAGGGUAUGGCUGUUCGCCAUUUAAAGUGGUACGCGAGCUGGGUUUAGAACGUCGUGAGACAGUUCGGUCCCUAUCUGCCGUGGGCGCUGGAGAAUUGAGGGGGGCUGCUCCUAGUACGAGAGGACCGGAGUGGACGCAUCACUGGUGUUCGGGUUGUCAUGCCAAUGGCACUGCCCGGUAGCUAAAUGCGGAAGAGAUAAGUGCUGAAAGCAUCUAAGCACGAAACUUGCCCCGAGAUGAGUUCUCCCUGAGACUUUAAGUCUCCUGAAGGAACGUU
rnacentral:rRNA from 1 species